GUGCAUAGACGUGGGCAUAAAAUGGCCAAACUGCUUGACCUUUCUGCUAGGGGAACGUUCAUACUAGACAUGCCAUUAUUACGCGGCUGCUCAUCUCAUGUUCAAGGCAUCGAAACUUCCGUCCAAGACCCUGGAAAUGUUGACAUUAUAACCAUACCAACAAAGAAAAAAAAUUGAGCAAUAUCUUUUUAAUUCAUUUUUUUAUCAUACAUAAACCAUUAUUCUAAUAACAAAAUCACUUCCAAGAUGACAAC
rnacentral:lncRNA from 1 species